AGCAUCCAAAAACAACUGCUAUCCCUCACAAAACUUCACACGCUGCCACGGCAGUUCCCGUGUCCAUGACAACCCCAAGUCUGGACCAAAUUUUUGCGAUGAGCUUCUACAGAAAUGACGUCAACCAUGAUGGAAUUUUGACGCUGUUGGACUUUGAAAAGCUGUGGAUUGAACAAGAUGUGAACGGGGAUCAGCGGGUUACCAUCACAGAGUACGCGGCUGUGACGCAUUUAUCCAAGUUCAUCACCACGGAACUGUUCCAGUUCAUUGAUCAUGACCACAACGGAGCCAUCACACUACAAGAGGUGCCACGGCUGUUCAUGGAAUACGAUUCCAACUCUGAUGGUGUCAUAAACGAGGGGGGAAUUUAUAGCUGAAUUCCGUAGGAUUUACAACUUUGUGAAGGACCAUGCAAAAUAGCCACAACGUGCAUGCAAUCUCCAGAAAGAAGACAAUUCUACAAACAAUUUCAAAUAAAAUGUGUUUUGUAGAUCA